rnacentral:rRNA from 1 species
GAAUUCGAUUCGAUUACCGCGGCUGCUGGCACGUAGUUAGCGUGGCUUAUUCCUCAGGUACCGUCUUGUAUCUUCCCUGAGAAAGAGGUUUACGACCCGAAGGCCUUCGUCCCUCACGCGGAGUUGCUGCCUCAGACUUUCGUCCAUUGGGCAAAAUUCCCGACUGCUGCCUCCCGUAGGAGUCUGGGCCGUUCUCAGUCCCAGUCUGGCUGAUCAUCCUCUCAGACCAGCUACGCAUCGUCGCCUUGGUAGGCCGUUACCCCACCAACAAGCUAAUGCGCCGCGGGCCCAUCUCGAUGCGAAGGCCGAAGCUAUCUUUAGUCACAACACUGAUGUGAUGUGGCCACAUCCGGUAUUAGCCCGAGUUUCCUCGGGUUGUCCCGGUCAUCGAGGCAGGUUACCCACGUGUUACUCACCCGUUCGCGGCUUUGCCCCAGGCCGAAGCCUGGUUCGUCGCUCCACUUGCAUGUGUUAAGCACGCCGCCAGCGUUCGUCCUGAGCCAUGAUCAAACUCUAAUCACUAGUGAAUUCGCGGCCGCCUGCAGGUCGACCAUAUG